UACGGAGGGUGCGAGCGUUGUCCGGAAUCAUUGGGCGUAAAGGGCGCGUAGGUGGCGGCUUAAGCGUGCGGUGAAAGCCCGGGGCUCAACCCCGGGUCUGCCGUGCGAACUGCCGGACUCGAGCACUGUAGAGGCAGGUGGAAUUCCGAGUGUAGCGGUGGAAUGCGUAGAGAUUCGGAGGAACACCGGUGGCGAAGGCGGCCUGCUGGGCAGUGUCUGACGCUGAGGCGCGACAGCGUGGGGAGCAAACAGG
rnacentral:rRNA from 1 species